rnacentral:rRNA from 1 species
GAGGCGUGCGAGGGCUGUCGCUGACUUUUUGACACAAAAGUUGUGCACGCCGGAGUGCGUCCUCUCACAUAAAAUCCAUCUCACCCUUUUGUGCACCACCGCGUGGGCGCCCUUUGGGAUCGAAUCGAUCCAGGAGGGGGCUUGCGUUUUCACACAAACCCCUUUUAAAAAGUGUAGAAUGACCCCACUUUGCGAUGACACGCAAUCAAUACAACUUUCAACAACGGAUCUCUUGGCUCUCGCAUCGAUGAAGAACGCAGCGAAAUGCGAUACGUAAUGUGAAUUGCAGAAUUCAGUGAAUCAUCGAAUCUUUGAACGCACCUUGCGCCCCUUGGUAUUCCGAGGGGCACACCCGUUUGAGUGUCGUGAAAAUCUCAACCUUCUCGGUUUUCUUCUGGACACCGAAGGAGGCUUGGACUUUGGAGGCCUUUGCUGGCAUCUCUCUCUUCUUGAGAGCCAGCUCCUCUUAAACGAAUUAGCGGGGUCCUCUUUGCCGAUCCUCGACAUGUGAUAAGAUGUUUCCAUGACUUGGUUUCUGGCUCUGUUGCCUUUGGGACCCGCUUCUAACCGUCUCGACGAGACAACGUUUGGGCGCGUCUCCCUUCUCGGGAGACUCUCUCAACCUCCACGAACCCUUGA